GUGCUUGCUUUGGCAGCACACAUACUAAAAUUGGAAUGAUACAGAGAAGAUUAGCAUGGCCCUGUGCAAGGAUGAUACACAAAUUCAUGAAGUGUUUCAUAUUUGA